AAAAAAAUAGCAACAAAUAUAUUAUUUAUUUAUUCUAACCGAUUUUUUUUAAAAAUAAGAUUACAAUUUAUUAAAUAAAAAAAUUAUUAAAAUUUAACGGAUUCUAGCCCAUAUGCUGUUUGCAAUCUCAUCUCGAAUACCUUCCAUGUAUUUUCUUGAAUUGAGAUCUUGUUCCAUCGCAUUUGGAAGUUCUUCCUCAUUUGUCGUUUGUUCGUUUUCAUUUUUUUCGGACUGAAAAUCAGGAUCCACAAGAUUUGAUUUGCGAAUAAAAUUAUGGAGAACCAUGGUUGCCACCAAAAUUUUUCGCAUUAUAGAUAUGUUAUACCUUGCUUCGUCU
rnacentral:lncRNA from 1 species